CGAAAGCGAGUUUUAACUGAGCGUUCAGUUACUUGACGUAGACCCGAAACCGGGCGACCUACCCAUGAGCAGGAUGAAGCGAAAGUAAAAUUUCGUGGAGGUCCGAACCCACGAGCGUUGAAAAGCUCGGGGAUGACUUGUGGGUAGCGGUGAAAUUCCAAUCGAGCCCGGAGAUAGCUGGUUCUCCCCGAAAUAGCUUUAGGGCUAGCCUCAAGGUGAGAGAUACGGAGGUAGAGCACUGAAUGUCCUAGGGGGUAUUGCACCUACCGAAGACUAUCAAACUCCGAAUGCCGUCAUCUUAUACUUGGGAGUCAGACUGUGGGUGAUAAGAUUCAUAGUCGAAAGGGCAACAGCCCAGAUCGUCAGCUAAGGUCCCUAAAUGUAAGUUAAGUGGUAAAGGAUGUGGGAUUGCACAGACAACCAGGAUGUUGGCUUAGAAGCAGCCACUCAUUCAAAGAGUGCGUAAUAGCUCACUGGUCGAGUGAUCCUGCGCCGAAGAUUUCCGGGGCUAAAACUUACUACCGAAGCUACGGCAUCAGUAAUGAUGGGUAGGGGAGCUUCCCAUACGGGUUGAAGCAUGACCGUAAGGACAUGUGGACAGUAUGGGAGUGAGAAUGUUGGCAUGAGUAGCGAGAUGUGGGUGAGAAUCCCACAGGCCGUAAACCCAAGGUUUCCAGGGGAAGGUUCGUCCGCCCUGGGUUAGUCGGGACCUAAGCUGAGGCCGAAAGGCGUAGGUGAUGGACAACAGGUUGAUAUUCCUGUACUACCGAUAACCGUUUGAGAGAAGGGAUGACACAGUAGGAUAAGCUAAGCACACUGUUGGUUAUGUGUGCCCAAGCAUUGAGGCAGUCAAAGUAGGCAAAUCCGCUUUGAUAAUGCUGGGAUGUGAUGGGGAGCGAAAUUUAGUAGCGAAGUAGCUGAUUUCACACUGUCAAGAAAAGUCUCUAUCGAGGUUAAAGGUACCCGUACCGCAAACCGACACAGGUGGGUGAGGAGAGUAUCCUAAGGCCAGCGAGAGAACUGUUGUUAAGGAACUCGGCAAAAUGACCCCGUAACUUAGGGAUAAGGGGUGCCACCAUCAGGUGGCCGCAGAGAAUAGGCCCAAGCGACUGUUUACCAAAAACAUAGGUUUCUGCUAAGUCGCAAGACGAUGUAUAGGAGCUGACGCCUGCCCGGUGCUGGAA
rnacentral:rRNA from 1 species